GUCAGUUAAGGUGCACAGAUAAGCCUACACCCUUGGACAGACCCAGGAGUGUGGUGGAGAACUUCUGAUCCCAGCUUCCAUCUGACUGAAGGUGCAAGGUCAAUGAACAGUUCCAGGUUAAAAAAAAACAACUCCUGAUAUUCUAACAGAAAAACCUGUUGCUCCGUCUCCGCUCUGCUCUCCAGUCUUUCUCAUCUUCUCUAGAAGCUCCUCCCACAACAAUGUGAUGUUGUGUAUCAUUUGUUUUCAGGCUAAACUAACCCAAGAACUCUGCUGUCAGACUGACUGUGGCAGCUACAAAAUGGUCCAGGCUACCUACCAUGACGCUUUGCAGCAAAGUGUGCUGCUGCUGUGAGCUUGGAGCUAGAUUACAUCAUGACAUCACAGAGGAGCUACUGAUUCUCGUCCAAUAACACUUGGUGGUGAUGUGUGAGCUGAUUCACCUGGUAAAUAACUUUUACAUAAACAUUUUCUCUUUGGUAACAAAGUGAAUUAACUAAUAACUUGCAUUCCUGUAGGACACUGAGCGAAAUAUGGACGCUACGCCAUGAGGCAGGCACACGUGGAGAUUAUAUAGGAACAUAUAUGCCUGGCUGACCACCACUGCAGGACACCUGACAACUCCUGUCAUCUGGCUAUGAGGGCAGAGUGAAGAGCUAGUCUGGCUGCACUCAGACUAGCCGUUAGCACAUCAGUCCAGUCCAGUUUACCACAAUAUCUAUAUCGUCAAACAAAGCACAAUAUGUGAUGAAUAUGUUUUUUUAUAUUAGAUUGUCUGAUUACAGAGUUUCCUGUCAUACUCAUAUCUGUGCACCUUAAACUGACUGUGUUUGCAAAAGGUGUGUGUGUGUGUGUGUGUGUGUGUGUGUGUGUGUGACAUCAAUUUUAGCCUUGUUGAUUUAUUCUUUAUUUAACUGGGAAGGUCCCAUUGAGAUUAAAAACCUCUUUUUCAAGAGAGUGCUGGGCAAGAGGCUGAAAAAAUUACAGUUACAUUUGUUUUAGCUACACAGACAUGUUAUUUACACAAUUACAGAAGGCAGUUACAACCAAGCCCCCACAAUGCGGCUCAAAAAUUGAAGCAAUCCCGGAAGUACUAAAACUUGCAGUUCCACCCUCAUCCGCUAGGGGCUGAUGUCAGAAGCGAGCAAAUCCUCAUUGACUCCCAUGUUAAAAAUACCAAUUUCACAGCAGAAAUAAACAUGUUUACAGCCUGGUUCCAAAACAUGUUUUUGGUUUAAAUUAUCUAGUUUACACUCACAACAACUCUGAGGGGGGUGAAUUUUUUCUCACUCUUCUGUUUAAGUGUAUUAAAAGCCUAAAAUUCUGUAUAAUUAAUGAGCAUCUGACCCAUGUGACCGCUGCCUCAGACCCACGUGACCACAGAGCUAGCUCCAGGGAAAGGCCUCAGUCUGAGCCUCGGCCUCGCCUGAAACCUGUUCGGCCAUUUUCAGUCUCUCAACUUAGACCAUUAGUUGUAGCGUUUGUGCGUUCUUUUUUGGAUAUUUUUUGUGCAAUUGUUGGACAAAAUGACUUGCUGUGGCAUUAAUUGCACUAAUAGAGCGUCCAAGGAGUCUCCUCUUCAUUUUUUUCGGUAAGUAAAAUUAUAUUUAUGUAUUUUAGGUCACUGCUGAGCUGAGCUUAGAUCUUAACAUGUACUGUUUAACCAUGAAAUUUAAAUAUAAUAGGGUAAUACCCAGUGCAUUUAACACAAUGCUGCACUUUAGAAAAUGGGUUGAAAUAUAACAUGUUGGUGGAGCUGGGUUCCGACUAUCGGCUUGUGGAGCUCUUGGGAGACCGAUGUUUUCCACCCGUUUCUCCCCUCCCCGCAGCUCGGCGCAUCUCUGUCUGAUCGCGGCUCCUGUCUGCUGCGCGGGCUGCCAGCUUGUGGAGCUCUGGGAUGGAAACCUUUCCACCCGGUUCUCCCCAGCGGCAGCUCUGCACAUCUCAGAUCGCAGCGGCGCUUGUCUGCUGUGCGGCUGCCGGCUUGUGGAGCUUUCGGGAGACCUCUGUGUUCCACCCGGUUUUACCCAGCGGUCAGCCCGGCGUAUCUCUGACUCAGAAGCUCUGGUGUUGUGCACAGUUAACUCCGGUUGUAGCUAGGUUGCUACCUCCGUUAGCUUAGCUCCCACCUCCGCGUUAGCUUUGGGUUAGCUUCAGGUUAGCUUGUAGCUAGUUUGACCGGGUGUCGUCAGUUGAUCCCAGCCUUACAGCCCCACCCUCAGCUCCACCUCUCUUCCCUUUUGUGGAAUUGUCUGGGCUUGACGGAACCUGUGACACGGUCAAAAUGGCGGUGGUGGCCACCUCCCAUUUGGCCUCAAAAACGUGUUAUUGGAGUUUAUGAAAACCCAUUGUCCAAUAUUUAUAUGUCGACGGUUACAACACAGGGAAUCUGUCUCAAGGGCUUUCAGUCUGGGUUUUAAAUUUUCCUUAUUUUUUACUACAUCCUUAUGAGCUGACUUUAGUGAGCGCAAAGACAACUUUGUUGUACACCUGUGCAAUGAAACAAUCUUUUAUCUUGAAUUUCUGAAAUUAUCAGAUAUGUAAAUAACAGGUUCAAUCCAUUAGGUAUUUUAUUCGUUUUUUAUUUACUUUUACUUAUAAUCAGAAAUUUUAAAUUUGAUGAAAGUAAUU